AGGCUUUCUACUGGUCCCUACUUUUCCUACUUUUCCUACUUUUCCCUACUUUUUUCUACUUUUUUCUUUUGAUCCCUACUUUGCCCUACUUUUUUCUGAAAUAGCCCUAUUAUCCCUACUUUUUCAUUUUGAAAUGAAAUAAAAUAAAAAGGAGAUAUUUAAAAUGGCAUUUCAGUAGUAUUUUCAGUUGCAAUUGAUGAGUAGUUCAGGUGUGUGUGUGUGUAUCUCCUUGUGAUGUCCAUCCUUGAAAGACUCAUGGUGCCUUGGCAAAACAUUCAGCAACAUUCUGGCUAUGAGGUGCCUGUCUUUCAAGCAUGGACUGAACUGAAGAUACACACAGCCUUAUGUGGUCUUGGUGAUGGUAAGUCUUAACUAAAACGGUAAGAAAUUCCUACUUUAUCCCUACUUUUUAACAUCAGAAAUCCCUACUUUGCCCUACUUUUUGGUAAAAAAAUGCCCUACUUUUUCCCUAGUUUUUUUGGUAGAGGCAGUAGAAAGCCUGCA